AUUGAACGCUGGCGGCAGGCCUAACACAUGCAAGUCGAACGGUAACAGGAAGAAGCUUGCUUCUUUGCUGACGAGUGGCGGACGGGUGAGUAAUGUCUGGGAAACUGCCUGAUGGAGGGGGAUAACUACUGGAAACGGUAGCUAAUACCGCAUAACGUCGCAAGACCAAAGAGGGGGACCUUCGGGCCUCUUGCCAUCGGAUGUGCCCAGAUGGGAUUAGCUAGUAGGUGGGGUAACGGCUCACCUAGGCGACGAUCCCUAGCCGGUCUGAGAGGAUGACCAGCCACACUGGAACUGAGACACGGUCCAGACUCCUACGGGAGGCAGCAGUGGGGAAUAUUGCACAAUGGGCGCAAGCCUGAUGCAGCCAUGCCGCGUGUAUGAAGAAGGCCUUCGGGUUGUAAAGUACUUUCAGCGGGGAGGAAGGGAGUAAAGUUAAUACCUUUGCUCAUUGACGUUACCCGCAGAAGAAGCACCGGCUAACUCCGUG
rnacentral:rRNA from 1 species